GAUGAAGAACGUAGCGAAAUGCGAUAAGUAAUGUGAAUUGCAGAAUUCAGUGAAUCAUCGAAUCUUUGAACGCACAUUGCGCCCGUCAGUAUUCUGGCGGGCAUGCCUGUUCGAGCGUCAUUACGCCCCUCAAGUCCCCUGUGGACUUGGUGUUGGGGAUCGGCGAGGCUGGUUUUCCAGCACAGCCGUCCCUUAAAUUAAUUGGCCGUCUCGCCGUGGCCCUCCUCUGCGCAGUAGUAAAACACUCGCAACAGGAGCCCGGCGCGGUCCACUGCCGUAAAACCCCCCAACUUUUUAUAGUUGACCUCGAAUCAGGUAGGACUACCCGCUGAACUUAAGCAUAUCAAUAAGCGGAGGA
rnacentral:misc_RNA from 1 species